AAAUUGAAGAGUUUGAUCAUGGCUCAGAUUGAACGCUGGCGGCAGGCCUAACACAUGCAAGUCGAACGGUAACAGGAAGAAGCUUGCUUCUUUGCUGACGAGUGGCGGACGGGUGAGUAAUGUCUGGGAAACUGCCUGAUGGAGGGGGAUAACUACUGGAAACGGUAGCUAAUACCGCAUAACGUCGCAAGACCAAAGAGGGGGACCUUCGGGCCUCUUGCCAUCGGAUGUGCCCAGAUGGGAUUAGCUAGUAGGUGGGGUAACGGCUCACCUAGGCGACGAUCCCUAGCUGGUCUGAGAGGAUGACCAGCCACACUGGAACUGAGACACGGUCCAGACUCCUACGGGAGGCAGCAGUGGGGAAUAUUGCACAAUGGGCGCAAGCCUGAUGCAGCCAUGCCGCGUGUAUGAAGAAGGCCUUCGGGUUGUAAAGUACUUUCAGCGGGGAGGAAGGGAGUAAAGUUAAUACCUUUGCUCAUUGACGUUACCCGCAGAAGAAGCACCGGCUAACUCCGUGCCAGCAGCCGCGGUAAUACGGAGGGUGCAAGCGUUAAUCGGAAUUACUGGGCGUAAAGCGCACGCAGGCGGUUUGUUAAGUCAGAUGUGAAAUCCCCGGGCUCAACCUGGGAACUGCAUCUGAUACUGGCAAGCUUGAGUCUCGUAGAGGGGGGUAGAAUUCCAGGUGUAGCGGUGAAAUGCGUAGAGAUCUGGAGGAAUACCGGUGGCGAAGGCGGCCCCCUGGACGAAGACUGACGCUCAGGUGCGAAAGCGUGGGGAGCAAACAGGAUUAGAUACCCUGGUAGUCCACGCCGUAAACGAUGUCGACUUGGAGGUUGUGCCCUUGAGGCGUGGCUUCCGGAGCUAACGCGUUAAGUCGACCGCCUGGGGAGUACGGCCGCAAGGUUAAAACUCAAAUGAAUUGACGGGGGCCCGCACAAGCGGUGGAGCAUGUGGUUUAAUUCGAUGCAACGCGAAGAACCUUACCUGGUCUUGACAUCCACAGAACUUUCCAGAGAUGGAUUGGUGCCUUCGGGAACUGUGAGACAGGUGCUGCAUGGCUGUCGUCAGCUCGUGUUGUGAAAUGUUGGGUUAAGUCCCGCAACGAGCGCAACCCUUAUCCUUUGUUGCCAGCGGUCCGGCCGGGAACUCAAAGGAGACUGCCAGUGAUAAACUGGA
rnacentral:rRNA from 1 species